rfam:Medicago truncatula strain A17 chromosome 4, whole genome shotgun sequence.
UGGCAAUGAUGAUAAAAAGGCCGGUCUUACGGCUACCAUUUACUUCUUUGGUAGUAGAUUGAAACAUAAAAUAGCAUAUAUACACAAACAGGUUCAUGUAUGUCUC